UUUUUGCUCAGCGUUGCAUUGAUCAGUUGGCUGAAGCAUUAAUUACCUUUUAAAUUUUCAUGCUUUCUCUCUCUUCUCAUUUAUCUACCAUGAGCUUUGCUUUUUGUACCUAUGCGUGCUUUCUUUCUCCCAUGACCUCCCAAGCUCUAAACUUUCAACUCUGCUUCACCUUCAAUUGCUCAUAGGUAGCACCAUCCAACAGCCGAUCUCCACCGUGUUGAAGCACCAAGUAACCUUCGGCCAAUCUCUAGUUCUCUGUCAUCCCUUCUUACAUCCACGGUGUCCCUACUUAAAAGUAGUUUUUCUCCUUGUUGCCUCUUCAUCUCCACUGUGGUCCACUAGAUCUGCACUUCCCAUCACCGGAUCUACUCCCUGUCGCUUGUCCUUGCCAAGUUGAAAAAUCAUGAAAGAUUUGAAUGAAUAUAUGUCAAGUUGGAUUGAAGGUUUGGGAUGUCAAUGUGGUGCAUCAACUACUUCCCUUGUUACAAUAAGAUAAAACAGAGCAAGAAAAAAUAUGUCAAUUAAUUAGUGAAUAUAUGAUGCCAUAUGUGUAUAAAGAACCACGAAGAAUUAGCAAGCAAACAAGGCAAAUGUGGGUCGACGAGAGUUUGCAAGGUCAUCCUAAUUGUUGUUAUAAAAUGUUUUGAAUGGAAAAACAUUUAUUUAGGCAA